UACGUAGGGGGCAAGCGUUGUCCGGAAUCAUUGGGCGUAAAGCGCGUGUAGGCGGUUACGUAAGUCUGCUGUGAAAGUCGGAGGCUCAACCUUCGAAAGCCGGUGGAUACUGCGUGACUAGAGUACGGAAGAGGAGAGUGGAAUUCCUGGUGUAGCGGUGAAAUGCGCAGAUAUCAGGAGGAACACCAACGGCGAAGGCAAUCCCCUGGGCCUGCACUGACGCUCAUGCACGAAAGCGUGGGGAGCAAACAGG
rnacentral:rRNA from 1 species